CCUACGGGAGGCAGCAGUGGGGAAUAUUGCACAAUGGGCGAAAGCCUGAUGCAGCAACGCCGCGUGAAGGAAGGCGGUUUUCGGAUUGUAAACUUCUGUUCUUAGUGAAGAAUAAUGACGGUGACUAAGGAGAAAGCCACGGCGAACUACGUGCCAGCAGCCGCGGUAAUACGUAGGUGGCAAGCGUUGUCCGGCAUUACUGCGUGUAAGGGGAGCGUAGGCGGGAAGCCAAGUCAGCUGUGAAAACUACGGGCUUAACCUGUAGACUGCAGUUGAAACUGGCUUUCUGGAGUGAAGUAGAGGUUGGCGGAAUUCCGGGUGUAGCGGUGAAAUGCGUAGAUAUUCGGAGGAACACCGGUGGCGAAGGCGGCCAACUGGGCUUUAACUGACGCUGAGGCUCGAAAGUGUGGGGAGCAAACAGGAUUAGAUACCCCUGUAGUC
rnacentral:rRNA from 1 species